GCUGGGUUGGGCCGGGCCGGGACGCGGCACGAGCCGGACUAUCGCGGUCGCUGUUCGUGGCGCCGCCGGGCCUGCGACUAGGUGGCAUCCUUCAGACGCUAUAGGCCGUCUCUGCACACGUGAUGCGGGGCUCGGUCACGUUGCCCCCUGAAAGCUUGAGGAUGCGCCAGGUUUGACUCUGCAGGGCGUGCGCGCUUUGGGGGUGGAAGGAAGAGGAACGCGGCAGGAAGGCGAGCCCCUGGGUGGAGAAUCGCCGGGGCGCGCAGGCUGCGGCGGCUUCGCACAGCCGCCCUGGGCGCUGCACGGAUCCGCGCGCACCCUCCUGCGCACCCACUCGCGGCCAGCUCCCUACAGAGGAGUGGAGUGACUGCUCGACUACCACCCCUCUUUUAGUGUGAGCCUCUGGAGUCCUGACCGCCCCAGCCAGCCCAGCCACGAUGAGCUGUCUAAGAGGAUGUGGCAAGACCCAGAAGUGUGGGUGACCUUAUGUCAGAGGAAGUGGCUUUCUUAUUGCAGCAAAAAUUCCCGUACCAGUGUCAGUGCUAGGAUGGAGUUUCACUGUGUCACCCAGGCUGGAGUGCAGUGGCAUGAUCUCAGCUCAAUGCAACCUCUGUCUCCUGGGUUCAAGCAAAUCUCCUGCCUCAGCCUCUUGAGUAGCCUGAGUAGCUGGGACUAAAGUAUGAAAGUUUUCAAGACGCCUACAAGUGGAAAAUGCACUCCUCCCAGCCAAAUCAAGCUUCGCCAGAUUCCUUACAGCUGUGUGCAGUGAAAUGACUAAUGAAAGAGCCCUCUGCUGCUGGUGGAACUUUCACAUAUGGCACUGUUAUGCCACUCAGCAGGACCCGACCCUGGUAUUUACAUAUUGGAUGUCACCCCAAAAGCCCCUGACCAGGGGGUUUCCGGGAUGUAAUAAGAAUGCCACUCUGGGCUUUGGAAGGUGCACCGUAUGCACACCCAUACUAUAGGGCAGGGGUUAGCAUUUCAGACCCCUGUUCCUCCCUUGACAAGCAAGUGCUUUUCUCCAGGGAAGAUGUUCGGGUUCAUUCAUAGAUCCAUUGUUGCCGUGGGCAGCUCAGUAACAAUAGCUCUGCUGCCUACCAGCUGCUGGUGGAGGUGUUGAGAAUACCUAGAUGAGGAAGUCAGGGCCCCUGCGUGCUUCAGCAGAGCUGGAUGCCUGGCAUGGCAAUCAAUGGACACAAACCUUUGGAUAAUUUCCAUCCUUGGCGGUGUGUUCUGUAGCAUAGGUGUGAAGUGGGUGCUCUGGGAGCUCAGAAGAGGGGCUCUUCUCUUAAUUUAUGGGUGGCCAGGGAAGGCUUCCUGGAGCUCAAAUGACUGAGUGGAGUCUUCAACAUUAAAAAAAAAAAAAAAAAAAAAAAGUGCUUCCCUCCCACCCCUAGUUAAAAAGGUAAUACACCUCAUUGAAAUAAUUUAAACUUUACAGAAAUGUGUUCCUUUAAAGUUCAGAGAGUAAAGAGGAAGUAAUAAAGCUCAAAUAGUAGAAUUUCUAAUUAACUGGAGCCUGUAGCUUUCUUCCUGAAAAGGGAGUGGUGUAUGUGCAUGUGUGAGUGUGUGUAGGUGAAUCUGUAAAGGAUGGAGUAGUACUAAAAAGAGGGAGGUGAAGACCGAGGUGAGAUCUCAUCUUUGUGCCCUGAACCUCUUUGUUAUCAUGUCAGGCAAUGAGAGAAAUCAGUACUCACCCUCCAUGGGACUCUGGCUUUUUCAAACUUGGUUUUCUAGGUUUUGGUCUUGGUUAUUGAUGGCUUGUAACUUCAGAGUCUCAUUGCUGGCCAUGCUUCCACGUGGUUUAUUAAGAUGUUUUCCUAAACAAAAUUGAUCUCUCCCUAAAAAAAUUACAGGUCUAGCUCUAAGAUGUUAACAAUAUUUAACCUGCUCCAAUGCCAAUAAGAGUUCUUGUUUAUUGAGGACUUUUUUUGCAUCAGCUAUGUGCUAAGAGCUUUACAUUUGUUACCUCAUAACAUCAACCCUCACACGAACCUUAUGAAGUGGGUAUUUCAUUAUUCCCACAUCCCAGAUAAGGAAGCUAGGAUUAUUAUUGCUGCACCCACAUAGCCGAUAAUCAGUGGGGCUUGGCCCCAAACCCAGGUCUCUCUGACUCCUGGGUCUAUGCUCACGAAUGCACUAUUCCUCUGCAUUGUUUCUCAAAAAUAUUUGGCUACAGGAACAUUUUCAAAAGUGAGCACCACUUACCUCUUAGUACUGUUACUAGCAUUCCGUGGGAGACAAUUUGGGAAAUACUGCCCCAGGAAAAUACUGCCCUGUCUUUAAAAUAGAGAUAAUAAUACAAUCUCCAUGUUGUGAUGAGUAAAAGACAUUUCAGGAAAUGGGUGCUGAGGAUACUUACCUUCCACCAGGAAUGUGUGUGUGCUUUAAAAAUAACAUCUGUGGCCCGGCACAAUGGCUCACAACUGUAAUCCCAGCACUUUGGGAGGCUGAGGCGGGUGGAUCGCUUGAGUCUAGGAGUUUGAGAUCAGCCUAGGCAACACGGCGAAACCCUGUCUCUACUAAAAAUACAAAAAUUAGCCGGGCAUGCUGGCACAUGUCUGUGGUCCCAGCAAUUCAGGAGGCUGAGGUUGCAGUGAGCCAAAAUGACAUCACUGCACUCCAGCCUGGGCAACAGAGUGAGACCUUCUCUCUCUCUCUCAAAAAUAAAUAAAUAAAUAAAUAAAUAAAUAAAUAAGUAAAAAUAAAAAAAUAACAUUUAUAAUGUCCUCAGUGAAAGGAAGCAGUGUUUUGGCCAGGAUGAUAAUGAAGAUAUUGUUACUGGGCUGGGAGAACCUUGGGCCCUGUUGGGGAGGGCCCUGUAAGCUGCCACUGCCCACCCUCAACAGGUGCCCCUUUGGUCCCCUUCCCUCUCCUCUGCCCUCUGGUUCUCUCCGUCAUCCCUCUGUAGCGCUUGUCUUUGUUCAGGAAGAUGCUCCAUUUGCCUGUCUCUGGGCAGGGGACUUGCUUUAAACCACGCUGCUGCCUACUCAGGCCAGCCCAGGAUGUCUCCUUUGCAAAUUUGGACUGUGUUCUGAGCCCCAGCUAUAGGCCAGGAGGCUGUGACAUAUUGGGCAGACCACCCACAGCCCAGCUGCUGCCACUGCUUAGCCUACAUGUGCUCAGAGAGCUACACUAUCACCACCCACCACGUCUCACCGACAGACCCUGCCUUUAGACACAAGGACCAACCUAGGAUAGCCUGGGUUGGCCCUACCUCCCUGGGCAUUGAUUUGGACAGCUCACCAACUCCCAAAGGAGCCAAUCUUUUGGCCUGGUUGGCUCCCAACCUACUCCCUGCCCCAUCGGUUUGCUGCAGGGGCCUGGUGGACCUGGCAGUCCCACAUCAUGACAUUCCUUUUCUUCCAUGCACCAGUUUUGCGCAGCUGUCAUUUUUCUUUCAUAAUUUUAUCAGUCCCACAGUUAUGCACAUUUAGGCAAAAAUACUAUGAACAAAACAGACAAACAAAAACAGGCCCUCAACCCAGCUCCUGAAUACCAGUUAGAAAGAGCAUUUGCAUUCUUCUCAGUAAAUAUCAAGCAUACUAAAAAAGAAAACAAAUUAUUUCACUUAAGUUCUUACUUGCACCUGUGAGGGAGCCAUUGUUACUGUCAUUUCAUGCAUGGAAAGGCUGAGGGACACAGAGGUUAGCUGAUUUGCCUAACGUCGCAGAGAUGAGAGCACCAAAGUCAGGGCCAGAAUAAUUAUCCAGUGUUUGUCCCUUUGCCAAGUGCUGCCCCUUGGACUUGGGGCCCUCAAGCCAUCAAGACUGGGGCCCUUUGCUCCUGGAGUGUCCCAAAUUGAUAGUGUAAGGGUGGUUCCGAUUGAGUCUGACAUGCUUCUAGGAACCCUCUGUUUUCUUCGCUUUAUUCUCUUCUAUCUUCCUUUUCCUAAGGCUCAUCCCACUGUCUAUUCUUCAUAGGCUUCAAGGUGCUCUUUGACUUUUCUCUGUAGCUAGGCCAUGGGACUUUUAGGUGUCACCCAUCCUCCCAACCACUCACUUGCCUCUUGACAGUGCAUCAGCUGAAGCACAACUAUGUGUUGGGGAGAUAUGUAAGGAGAAAUGUGAGACGUGGUCUUGCCCCUAAUAAACUGUUAAAGAAAAAUUAUCCUGAUAUCUGUGAAAAACAGUAACGAAGACUUUAUUCAAGACUAUUUCAAUAAAGGUCAUGAUUAUUGCAAUAGGUAAGAGGAUCGAAACCCAAAUACAUCAGGGAUAAGGGGGGAUUUACAGCCAAUGAGCAUGGUCGGGGAGUGGAUGGAAAAUUACUAACAGGAACUUGAUUAGGUGGAGGAAGAGGAGCUUGAUUGGAUGUUGAGGGUGAGAGAAUCUCAGUAAAUGGACUUAACAAGAUUCAUUGCCAAAACUGGGCUCAUCAGGUCAAGGACAAGGCCUAGUUGAGAAGAAGGCUGAAGGGGAACCUGACUAAAGUUUGGUCAAGGAGGGAGUCCUUGUCAGCACUCACAAAGUCAUAUGAGAGUCAGGACCCGAACGCAGGACCCAAGGUGCUACGAGGCAGUGAUGUGCCAGCCAUGGCACGGCUGGAGCUUGGAGAGGAGCCAGUGGAUAUAUCUGGGUUAUUCCAUCCCUUGGCUCCAGGGCUGACUGGCAGACAGUCACACUGGCUUCAUCUCAGGUUCAUUCAUUUCUCACUGCUCUGUGAUACACCAUACUUUUCUUCUGCUUCGUACUUUGAAGCUUGAAU